AUACGGAGGGUGCAAGCGUUACUCGGAACCACUGGGCGUGAAGCGCGCGCAGGCGGUCUUUUAAGUUGGAUGUGAAAGCCUACAGCUCAACUGUAGAACUGCAUCCAAAACUAUUAGACUAGAGUCUGGGAGGGGAAGAUGGAAUUAGUUGUGUAGGGGUAAAAUCCGUAGAGAUAACUAGGAAUACCAAAAGCGAAGGCGAUCUUCUGGAACAGUACUGACGCUGAGGCGCGAAAGCGUGGGGAGCAAACAGGAUUAGAAACCCCAGUAGUCC
rnacentral:rRNA from 1 species